GCCCAACACAAUAUAUGAUCGGCUAUAUCGUCGUCUUCGCCGCCGUGAUGGUAUGUAUUUUCCACACAACUAUAUUAUAUAUACCAGCGGUUAGGUAUAGGUAUAUACUAUAUACCUAUCUAUUUAUAACACAUAGUCGUUCGAUGUGUGUAUAUAAUAGUAAUAAUAUACGAAACUCCAACACACAUUUUCCGGGACCGUGAAAUAUUAAUACGUGCCACUUGAAGGAGAUAUAGAAAGAGAAUAUUAUAAGGUGACACACAGAGAGAGAGAGAGAGAGAGAGAGAGAGAGAGAAAGUGAUGGGAAGAAACGGUUCGAUAAACUGAUCCCGUGCCCUUGAAUAGCUCUCUAAAAAACUAAUACACGCACACACGUAUAAUACACAUACGCAUACAACAACAGCAGCUCUGCUACGACGGCAGUGUCGGCGACAGCAUUAUCGGCAAGUUCAUUGUGCGUGUGAUUGAUGAAUUUUAAUUAAAAAACUAUAUCAAACAAUUUUCUUUAGGGGUUUUUUUUUUUCAAUUAAUAAUUGCGUUCAAUAGACUAUAUUGAAAUCGUCCCUUUUACAGCGAGUAUGCAUACAUGAACUAACUCACGAUUACCAAUAUAAUAUUAACUGCAGCUGCACGUAUACAACCAUUUUUAAACUUUUAACUUUUUACAGUACAGACGAUAAUAAUAAGUACCACCUAUAUAUGAAGUGACGGAGGAAAAAAUAUAAGGUGCCUAUAAGAAUUUUAAGUUUUACUCUCGCGAGAUUAACUUCGAAUAAAACAACAUUGAAUAUUAUAUAAGAUCGAUAAACGUACUAUAAAUUGUCGUUCUAAAUAAUAUUUAAACAAAAUAUAUAAGAAUUAUUAAAUCAAUAUUGAACACAGACUGCAAAAAAAAUAAGAUACAAUAAGAUAUUAGCGAUACUUUUUUAAAUUGUAAUUUUAAUUGUACGUACCUACCUACCAUUAAAUAAUUCGCGUAUAUCUUGUAAACAUCAUUUUUCAAUCUUAAGUAAAUAGUGCUUCUAUUUUGUUUUAAGCUAUUAUGCGUAUAAAAUCGAAAUAACAAAUCAAGUGAAAUAACGAAAAACAAAGUAUAUGUAUUUUAAAUUGAAUAGUAGGUAAUCAUUGUAUACGAUUUACAUCAUUUUUGUUUUGUCUCGAUAAGUAUUAUCAAUAAAAGGAUAUAAAAUGUAGAAGUUGCAAAACAAAAUUGAAUGACCCUAACCUGUGUGUUGCAUUUACAAUAAUGUGUAAUCUAAAUUCAAAGAAAAUUAUAAAAAAAAAAAAAUGUUAUUUUGUUAUUUCCUGUUAUAUAUCAUACGCGAUACGCCCGUCAUCUCUUUUAAAACACAAACAGUCCACUUUUUAUUCCUGCUACGUGUGAUUUUUCGUUUCAAAUAUCUUACGGUCUCUGCACAUUAUAUUAUCAGGGGAGAAAACUAACAAAACCGUUAAGACAUAGACCUUUUUUUUAAACCAUCAAAGGUCGUCGAUUCUCAAAGGCACAUAUCGUAUUUACAUAACUACUACACUCGAUUUUUAUACAUAUAUAUAUUACAUACUAUUUACUAUUUCUAUUUAUGCUUUUUGUUUUUAUGUACCUAACGUUAUUUUUUGUCUAACAAUAUAUUUUUUAUUCGUGUCCAACCCCAACCUGCAAAUAUCAUACCAUAACACACGCGGGACAUCACCGAAAUUGAGA